UUGGCUAUGUCAACAGAAAGCAACUCAUCCAGGGCUGUCAUCAGAUUUGGCUUUAAGGUCUUGAACUUUGUGAAGUCAUGAACCAUCAGUUGCUCCUUUAAAAACAAAGGAUUAAAAAUAGGACAUUAAAGAAAACCCUUCAAGCAUGUGUGUCUCAGAUUGUGGAAUCCAACAGAUUUUUUCACCAACCCGCAUUUUAUCGCAGUCUGGGAAGUCUCCAGCAGAAAUGUUGUGCUGCAGCUGGAUCUUAGCAAAAAUAACUGGCAGCUGGUGGAUCAGAGCCUUCUUUUUAUUGUCCUUCCUGAAGACAGAUGGCAUCUCCUGCUUCAGAUAGCUGAUGAU